GUGCUGUGAGAGAGUGCUGUGAGUGUUAUGGGUGUGAGAGUGCUGUGUGUGUGAAAGUGCUGUGUGUGAUGGGUGUGAGAGUGCUGUGUGAGAGAGUGCUGUGUGUGUGUGAGAGUGCUCUGUGAGAGUGCUGUGUGUGAUGGGUGUGAGAGUGCUGUGUGUGAUGGGUGUGAGAGUGCUGUGUGAGAGAGAGCUGUGUGUGAUGGGUGUGAGUGCUGUGUGUGAUGGGUGUGAGAGUGCUGUGUGAGAGAGUGCUGUGUGUGAUGGGUGUGAGAGUGCUGUAUAAAUGUUAUUGUGUGUGUAGGGGG